AGAAGUAGCAAAGUAAAAAUGACACAAAUAUAAAAAUAGGAAAAAAUCUUUGUUUCUCCUCCAGACUGUUCUUCAUCUUCUUCUUUUUAUUCUC
rnacentral:ribozyme from 12 species